AAUUGGCCCAAGAAAGAAAAUCAUUCUAAAAUUUGACAGAUGUCUAAGUGAUGACAGUGAGCACUGUAUCUUCAGAGACAGAGGUGCAUAGGGUCUUCUUAUCUGAAGGGGAGGCUCAGCCUAGGACUCCAGCACAUGACCUCACUUCCUUGGUGACAGGUCCAAACAGACCUUGGAACCCUGUCACCAGGCACCACGGUCUAGCGCCAACUGCCCUCCCAGUCACUUGGCUGGAAAUAGGCAGCAGCGAACAUGCUGUGCUGCUUUCCCAGGCCUCCAGGCCGCAGCCUCGGACCCCACGCAGGGAAACCACUUGCCAACGAGUGAGAGGAUGGUUCACUCGGCCCAGAAGCUUCAGGACCCUCAUCAGGAACCACCCAACAGUCACGGGCAGCCCAGGGCAGGUCUCACCAGACCCAGCCCCCAGAUGCCCAGAGACGAGAGAGAGCCCAGGGCAGGUGUCCCGAGGCCUGACUUUCAUCUGCUCAGAGGCACCGAAUCCACUACAGGUCUAUGUAGACCUGGACACCACUGCACAGGAGUCUAUGUGGCACUGCCCUGACUACAGUUCUACCCUGUCUCCAGCUCUUACACAUCAUCACAUCAGCAGAGAUGGGAAAUCAGUAUUCCCAGAGCCUGGCAGAGGGCUGCACAGCGAGCAAGGUGCAGGCAAAUGCACUGCACACCCUGACAGAGGCCCCAGAACAGGACUUCCUGGAUAGGAAGAGCAGGUCCACCUCUUCUGUCCUUGACUCCUCACUGGAGCUCAACCCCCAGGUGGAUUCCCUGGGUGAGUUUCUCCUGGACCAGCUGGAGCCUCCUGAACCCCCUGAGGCAGAGCCCCAGGAGGACUGUGUGCCAGCUCCAGCCUCCGAUGAAGUCCCACCUGCUGACCUCCUGCCCACUCCACCUGCAGCUCCCUCACCAGCUCUGGCCCCACAACGAGAGCCAACACCUGGAACCUCUUCACCAGCUGCAGAGCUGGAACUCCUGGUGGCUCAACAGCAGAUCUCAUCUCUUGAACUCUACAGGGAGGUCUACAGAGCUCUUGACCCACACCCGCCAUUCCCCUCUCUUACUGAUUUACUUAUUAUUGUAUUUAUUGCUACCCUUAUUUCUCAGAGAUAAGUCAAUGAUAGAAUUAAUGUAAAUAAAAUUUAAGAUUUUUGUCUUGUUUAAAAUGA
ensembl:lncRNA